GUUUGAUCCUGGCUCAGAUUGAACGCUGGCGGGAAUGCUUUACACAUGCAAGUCGAGCGGCAGCGCGGGGCAACCUGGCGGCGAGCGGCGAACGGGUGAGUAAUACAUCGGAACGUGCCCAGACGUGGGGGAUAACUACUCGAAAGAGUGGCUAAUACCGCAUACGAUCUACGGAUGAAAAGCGGGGGAUCGCAAGACCUCGCGCGUCUGGAGCGGCUGAUGGCAGAUUAGGUAGUUGGUGGGGAUAAAAGCCUACCAAGCCAACGAUCUGUAGCUAGGUCUGAGAGGAUGAUCAGCCACACUGGGACUGAGACACGGCCCAGACUCCUACGGGAGGCAGCAGUGGGGAAUUUUGGACAAUGGGCGAAAGCCUGAUCCAGCCAUUCCGCGUGCAGGAUGAAGGCC
rnacentral:rRNA from 1 species